rnacentral:rRNA from 1 species
GAACAGGAUUAGAUACCCUGGUAGUCCACGCCCUAAACGAUGUCAACUAGUUGUUGGCGGCUUGCUUCAGUAACGCAGCUAACGCGUGAAGUUGACCGCCUGGGGAGUACGGUCGCAAGAUUAAAACUCAAAGGAAUUGACGGGGACCCGCACAAGCGGUGGAUGAUGUGGAUUAAUUCGAUGCAACGCGAAAAACCUUACCUACCCUUGACAUGUCAGGAACCCGGAGAGAUCGUUUCGUGCUCGAAAGAGAACCUGAACACAGGUGCUGCAUGGCUGUCGUCAGCUCGUGUCGUGAGAUGUUGGGUUAAGUCCCGCAACGAGCGCAACCCUUAUCAUUAGUUGCUACGCAAGGGCACUCUAAUGAGACUGCCGGUGACAAACCGGAGGAAGGUGGGGAUGACGU